GAUGAACGCUGGCGGCGUGCCUAAUACAUGCAAGUCGAGCGAAUGGAUUAAGAGCUUGCUCUUAUGAAGUUAGCGGCGGACGGGUGAGUAACACGUGGGUAACCUGCCCAUAAGACUGGGAUAACUCCGGGAAACCGGGGCUAAUACCGGAUAACAUUUUGAACCGCAUGGUUCGAAAUUGAAAGGCGGCUUCGGCUGUCACUUAUGGAUGGACCCGCGUCGCAUUAGCUAGUUGGUGAGGUAACGGCUCACCAAGGCAGCGAUGCGUAGCCGACCUGGGAGGGUGAUCGGCCACACUGGGACUGAGACACGGCCCAGACGCCUGCGGGAGGCAGCAGUAGGGAAUCUUCCGCAAUGGACGAAAGUCUGACGGAGCAACGCCGCGUGAGUGAUGAAGGCUUUCGGGUCGUAAAACUCUGUUGUUAGGGAAGAACAAGUGCUAGUUGAAUAAGCUGACACCUUGACGGUACCUAACCAGAAAGCCACGGCUACUACGUGCCAGCCGCCGCAGUAA
rnacentral:rRNA from 1 species